rnacentral:rRNA from 1 species
AGAGUUUGAUCCUGGCUCAGGAUGAACGCUGGCGGCGUGCUUAACACAUGCAAGUCGAACGAACCUUCGGGUUAGUGGCGGACGGGUGAGUAACGCGUGAGAAUCUGCCCUCAGGAGGGGGAUAACGGCUGGAAACGGCCGCUAAUACCCCAUAUGCCGCGAGGUGAAAUGAAUUUCGCCUGAGGAUGAGCUCGCGUCUGAUUAGCUAGUUGGUGGGGUAAAGGCCUACCAAGGCAUCGAUCAGUAGCUGGUCUGAGAGGAUGAUCAGCCACACUGGGACUGAGACACGGCCCAGACUCCUACGGGAGGCAGCAGUGGGGAAUUUUCCGCAAUGGGCGAAAGCCUGACGGAGCAACGCCGCGUGAGGGAUGAAGGCCUCUGGGCUGUAAACCUCUUUUAUCAAGGAAGAAGAUCUGACGGUACUUGAUGAAUAAGCCACGGCUAAUUCCGUGCCAGCCGCCGCGGUAAUUCA